GUCGAGCGAGAAAGUUUCUUCGGAAGCGAGUAAAGCGGCGGACGGGUGAGUAACGCGUAGGAAUCUACCAUUCAGUGGGGGAUAGCUCGGGGAAACCCGAAUUAAUACCGCAUAUACCCUAAGGGGGAAAGAGGGCCUAUCCUUGGAAGCUCUUGCUGUUUGAUGAGCCUGCGUGAGAUUAGUUUGUUGGUGAGGUAAUGGCUCACCAAGACUACGAUCUCUAGCUGGUCUGAGAGGACGAUCAGCCACACUGGGACUGAGACACGGCCCAGACUCCUACGGGAGGCAGCAGUGGGGAAUAUUGGACACUGGGGGCAACCCUGAUCCAGGCAUGCCGCGUGUGUGAAGAAGGCCUUCGGGUUGUAAAGCACUUUAGGUAAGGAAGAAAAGUUAUUGGUUAAUACCCAAUGACCAUGACAUUACUUACAGAAUAAGGACCGGCUAACUCCGUGCCAGCAGCCGCGGUAAUACGGAGGGUCCAAGCGUUAAUCGGAAUUACUGGGCGUAAAGCGCGCGUAGGCGGUUUGACAAGUUGGGUGUGAAAUCCCCGGGCUUAACCUGGGAACUGCAUUCAAAACUUUUAAACUGGAGUACGGGAGAGGAGAGUAGAAUUCAUGGUGUAGCGGUGAAAUGCGUAGAUAUCAUGAGGAAUACCAAUGGCGAAGGCAACUCUCUGGACCGUAACUGACGCUGAGGUGCGAAAGCGUGGGUAGCAAACAGGAUUAGAUACCCUGGUAGUCCACGCCGUAAACGAUGACAACUAGCCGUUGGACUUUCGAGUUCAGUGGCACAGCUAACGCAUUAAGUUGUCCGCCUGGGGAGUACGGCCGCAAGGCUAAAACUCAAAUGAAUUGACGGGGGCCCGCACAAGCGGUGGAGCAUGUGGUUUAAUUCGAUGCAACGCGAAAAACCUUACCAACCCUUGA
rnacentral:rRNA from 1 species